CCUACGGGGGGCAGCAGUGAGGAAUAUUGGUCAAUGGACGAGAGUCUGAACCAGCCAAGUAGCGUGAAGGAUGACUGCCCUAUGGGUUGUAAACUUCUUUUAUAUGGGAAUAAAACGUUCCACGUGUGGGAUUUUGUAUGUACCAUAUGAAUAAGGAUCGGCUAACUCCGUGCCAGCAGCCGCGGUAAUACGGAGGAUCCGAGCGUUAUCCGGAUUUAUUGGGUUUAAAGGGAGCGUAGGUGGAUUGUUAAGUCAGUUGUGAAAGUUUGCGGCUCAACCGUAAAAUUGCAGUUGAAACUGGCAGUCUUGAGUACAGUAGAGGUGGGCGGAAUUCGGGGUGUAGCGGUGAAAUGCUUAGAUAUCACGAAGAACUCCGAUUGCGAAGGCAGUUCACUGGACUGCAACUGACACUGAGGCUCGAAAGUGUGGGUAUCAAACAGGAUUAGAUACCCUGGUAGUC
rnacentral:rRNA from 1 species